GCGAAGCCCAUCUGCCGAGUGGUCCAUGGUGAAGGAGUGCGCGGGUGCGUGAAUUCGGUCCUCUCACGUGAAUGGGCUGUCCACGGUGGAGUGGGCGUUGAAAUGCUUUCGUGGGCCCAAGUUGACUGAUCCAUGGUGCGUUCCACGGUGUAGGGCACUGGCGGGUCCAUCUGCGCGUUUGGGGCUGGUCCAUAAGCAUCCAUGGGCUGCUAUGUGCAGGCCCAAGUGUCCUUUUGCUGCCCAAUUAUUUCUUGGCUCUAAAUAAGGCAGUUUUAGGGGGUUUUUCUCCAAAUUGUCAUUUUACACCAUUUUCUGCAAAAUAAUAUUAAAAGCAAUAAAUUAAGCAGAAAUCAUAUAAAUAUUUAUCAAUAAUAUUAAUAUAAAAUGGACUAAUUUAUGCUCUAUCA
rnacentral:lncRNA from 1 species